ensembl:lncRNA
CAGCACUCUUGCCCCACCCCUAUGCCAUGUAUUAUGCUUUCCCCCAUGGGAACUCUUCCUCCAAUAGUCAGCUGACCUCUGAUUUCUUGUUCCUCUGCCCCCAAUUUCCAAUCUCAAUUCCAUCCCUCGGGGCCCUGUGACUCUGGGCCAGUCAUUUUCCCCGCCCAAUUCUCAGUUUCCUCAUCUGUAAAGUCUCUUGCCCUUUUGUGGAGCUUUGAUCUGAGGACUCUCUGACCUUUUUAUCUUCCCUUCUGCCUCCUGGGAUGCCUCCCCACACUAAUGAUCCGAUCAGUCCUUCAAAUCCCAGGUCAAGGAAGCCUUUCAGACCCUCCAGGGAGCCUUCCUCAACUGCUGGGCUCAGGGACUUCUGCCUCCUCUGAGCUCCUCCUCUGGGACCUCUAUUGUUACUUAGGUCAGCCAGUCAAACAAUGAGCAUUUAUUAAGCACCUACUAUGUGCCAGGCACUGUGUGAGCACCAUUUCCCCUACUCAGCUGCCUCGUAAAGGCAGGGGCUGUGUUGUGUCUUAGUAUGGCCAGUGCCUGCACAGCCGUGUUUCAUAACCUGAUUCAGAUCAGCAAAUAUCAGUUGAACACCCACUAGGAAAACUGCCCCCUGCCUUGGAAGGAUGGAAGCCCAGGAGAGUGCUGUCCAGUACAGCCGAUGGAGCAACAGCCAGGAUGAGGUCAGCAUGAAUGUGUCCGCCUCGGAGAGCUCGGGCUGUGAGCGGAUCUACACCAAGCUUUGCACUGGGAAGCUGGGCAUUGCCCUGAAGUUGGUAGGCGGAAUCAUUCUGUUCUGGGUCAUCUUCAUCAUCGGCUAUGUCACCGGCUACUACAUCCACAAGUGCAAGUAGCCCUCGUCUGAGCUGCCGGACAACUUUGCAAGCCCUCCGACCGCCCAGAGACCUCUUGCUUCCUGGCUCAGACCACCGGGACAGACUGGCCCCUGGGGGCACAGCCACCUAUAGAUAUAGACACCCACACCCACACAUAUACAUACAGGGACAGAUCUAUGGACAAAUACUGAGGCCCUUUUCAGAGAAAGAGAAACACAUUCCUAGUGUGGAAGGCACACACUGAAACAGACACUGGACAGGGGAGGAGACGCACAGACACUAACACGGAGACCCUCACCCACAUCUCUCUCCCGCCCCGGCCCAGGAUAGAACUCCAGACCAAGCCAGUCACAUCCCAUCCUUGCCCUGCCGCAUCCCACCCCAGGGGGAGGCUCACAUUCAGUUACCGAAGCCCAGGACUGUAUCCCCUACUCAUCCCUUCUUCCUCGCCGACCAGACGACCGCUUCUUUUGGACCUAUGACUGCCCUAAACAGCCAGAGGUCUGAGGAAGAUGGGAGGAGCCAGAGCCCAGUUUUCUCCCUCAGAAACCCCUCUGCCAUUCUGGUUUAUGUUCAGAACAGGAGUCAGACCCAGGAUUUCUACCCAUCCUUGGUAAGAGCAAGAUCUUGACAGGAGGGGAUCAUUCAGUUAGGGAAAGCCACACAAGGAACCAUUAACCAACCGGGGCUCAGAAUCAGAAGCAAAACAACUCUUGGGGUUUUAAUUUUUGUCCAACUCUAGGUGUGUGUGUGGGGGGACAAAAUCUGCCUCCCAUUUUUUGGGACCCCUCCCUGUCCUGCCCCAGGUCACCACUCUAUUUCUUGAGAAAUUUCUUUGAGCCCGAUUUCUACAUCUAUCUGUUGAGGAGGAGAAAGGCAAGUGGCCCUUUUAUCUCCAGCAAAAUUUUUUUAAAAAGACAACAUCAGGUAUGGGGAAGGAGGUUCUUGCUUCAAAACCUGACUGACUCUCCCUUUUAUGUGCAGGAUGGAAAGUUAUUUCCAUUUCUGAGCCUCUUUUUCUUAACUGUAAGAUGAGACUAAAUGGCUCUGAAGUUCCCUUUCAUCUCUAACUACAUGGAGUCCCAGCAAAGCCAAAAAUUUCCCAUCAUCCCUAGGGAUCAGCAGGGAAAUCCAAAGCUUUACCCCCAGUGUCUGUUAAAGCUCCUUCCCUAGACCCACAGGCCCCUGGCUAUAUCACUGGCCCACUUAUGUGUGUGUGUGUGUGGGGGGGGAUGUAAUUCUGGAGCCAUUGUAAGAGGUAUCCCCUCUAAAGUUCUUCCUUUGCCCCCUCCCCUGGAUUUGCCCUCAAUUGCUGCACAAAGUCCCAGGGAAUUCUAUCCCCUGGCCUGCCCUGAAGGAAGAAAAUCCCAGUGAAAAUGAGUUGGGGGUCUGAUCUCUCUGAUGGCCCCUAGUCGCAGGUGCACAAAGAUUUUCAGAGCCAGGAGAAGCCGUCUCCAUCCUGAGGAGCCUUCCCUCCUGAUCCAUGAUCUUACCCACAAGGCAGAGGCUGAGCCACGGAGGACUGGGGCGUUCCGGGGUUGGCCCAUCCCUCUAACCCACUCCCCCAAUCUUCUCGUGCCUUUCCAGAGAAAGGCCUUGGACUGGAAGGAUUCUUUCUUAAUAAACACCCACUUGUGUGACCUCAAGCACAGGGUUCUCUCCAUGUCUUUAUUCCUCUUCCGGUGGUUCCUACAGCAGGAACAGAAUGAUUGAUCUGGACUCAGGUGCUUGUGUGGUGG